rnacentral:rRNA from 1 species
AGAGUUUGAUCCUGGCUCAGGACGAACGCUGGCGGCGUGCCUAAUACAUGCAAGUCGAACGAGAGCGACCGGUGCUUGCACUGGUCAAUCUAGUGGCGAACGGGUGAGUAACACGUGGGUAACCUGCCCAUCAGAGGGGGAUAACAUUCGGAAACGGAUGCUAAAACCGCAUAGGUCUUCGAACCGCAUGGUUUGAAGAGGAAAAGAGGCGCAAGCUUCUGCUGAUGGAUGGACCCGCGGUGCAUUAGCUAGUUGGUGAGGUAACGGCUCACCAAGGCCGUGAUGCAUAGCCGACCUGAGAGGGUGAUCGGCCACAUUGGGACUGAGACACGGCCCAAACUCCUACGGGAGGCAGCAGUAGGGAAUCUUCCGCAAUGGACGCAAGUCUGACGGAGCAACGCCGCGUGAGUGAAGAAGGUUUUCGGAUCGUAAAACUCUGUUGUUAGAGAAGAACAAGUGCUAGAGUAACUGUUAGCGCCUUGACGGUAUCUAACCAGAAAGCCACGGCUAACUACGUGCCAGCAGCCGCGGUAAUACGUAGGUGGCAAGCGUUGUCCGGAUUUAUUGGGCGUAAAGCGAGCGCAGGCGGUUCCUUAAGUCUGAUGUGAAAGCCCCCGGCUCAACCGGGGAGGGUCAUUGGAAACUGGGGAACUUGAGUGCAGAAGAGGAGAGUGGAAUUCCAUGUGUAGCGGUGAAAUGCGUAGAUAUAUGGAGGAACACCAGUGGCGAAGGCGACUCUCUGGUCUGUAACUGACGCUGAGGCUCGAAAGCGUGGGUAGCAAACAGGAUUAGAUACCCUGGUAGUCCACGCCGUAAACGAUGAGUGCUAAGUGUUGGUCUCAUAAGAGAUCAGUGCUGCAGCUAACGCAUUAAGCACUCCGCCUGGGGAGUACGACCGCAAGGUUGAAACUCAAAGGAAUUGACG